AAGUCGUAACAAGGUUUCCGUAGGUGAACCUGCGGAAGGAUCAUUAAUAACUUCCAAACCCAAAACAUCCAAACAUCCGUUUGGGUGUUACACCCCUUUACAGCGAACUGUUCGAGUGGUCGAGUCAAAGUUGGGCAAGUUGUGCUCCUAGUUUUCCUUAACCGGAAAAGACUUUCUCGAUCGCUUUUUUCCCUCUUCUUUUUUUUCCAACAAACUCCAUGAAACUUUUUGACUGAAAUUUUUGCCUCUUAAAAACCAGGCAAAGAAAAAACAAAAACAAAAUGAGAAAAACAACUCUUAACAACGGAUAUCUUGGCUCUC
rnacentral:misc_RNA from 1 species